rnacentral:lncRNA from 1 species
AUCUCAUAUUUUUUUUAAAAUUUAAUAUUGUUACUCGAACUGAUAUAGAAGAUUGAGAUUUUUCUUAAGAUGAGAGUCUACAUAUAAAAUUUGUUGGAAGGUCAAGAGAAGAAAAAAAUCGAUGAUUGUGAAGAGCGCCCAAUGUUUGACCUUUAAUUAUUUUUCUAUCAAGGAUAGUCUGAGAUAAUUAUGAAUUUUGAGUGAAAUGUAUUAGACAAAUAAUGGUAGUAUAUUAAUACAAGUCCAAAAUGUUACAGUUCUUCAAAAAGUUGAGAAAUCAAUAAGAAGGGAUGAGUUUGAGAUUUCAAAUAAUUUUUGUUAUAACAAGAUCAUGAGAAAUAAAUAAUAUAUAUGACAUUAUCGUAAGCUU